rnacentral:sRNA from 12 species
UCAUUGGUCGCUGCAGUUAGAAAGUUUGGCAGCGUAAACCCAGCACCGGACAUGACGAAGAGG